ensembl:lncRNA
GUGGUGUGUUACGUUCACGUUGUGGUGUGUUACGUUCACUGUGUGGUGUGGUGUGUUACGUUCAUGUUGUGGUGUGUUACGUUCACAGUGUGGUGUGGUGUGUUACGUUCAUGUUGUGGUGUGGUGUGUUACGUUCACAGUGUGGUGUGGUGUGUUACGUUCACGUUGUGGUGUGGUGUGUUACGUUCAUGUUGUGGUGUGGUGUGUUACGUUCAUGUUGUGGUGUGUUACGUUCACAGUGUGGUGUGGUGUGUUACGUUCACAGUGUGGUGUGUUACGUUCAUGUUGUGGUGUGUUACGUUCACAGUGUGGUGUGUUCAUGGUGUGGUGUGUUACGUUCAUGUUGUGGUGUGGUACGUUCAUGUUGUGGUGUGGUGUGUUACUGGUGUGGUGUGUUACGUUCAUGUUGUGGUGUGG